rnacentral:rRNA from 1 species
UACAGAGGUCUCAAGCGUUGUUCGGAUUCAUUGGGCGUAAAGGGUGCGUAGGCGGCGCGGUAAGUCGGGUGUGAAAUCUGGAGCUUAACUCGAAACUGCAUUCGAUACUGCCGUGCUUGAGGACUGGAGAGGAGACUGGAAUUUACGGUGUAGCGGUGAAAUGCGUAGAUAUCGUAAGGAAGACCAGUGGCGAAGGCGGGUCUCUGGACAGUUCCUGACAGCUGAGACACGAAGGCCAGGGGAGCAAACGG